UAGCGGUUGCGAUUGGUUUGUUGGUUUUGGUCUGGGCGCGGUGGCUAUGGGAAGCAAAAUCGAAGGAAUAAUGCUCUGGAAAAAGCAGAACUUAUUAGCAACUACUGGGAGGUGGCUCAAUAUUUCUUUCUUUCUUUCUUUCUUUCUUUCUUUCUUUGGGAGUGGCGGCGCAUCUUGGAUCAGCGCAGGUCUUCGCGACCCAUCAGAUGUGGCAGCAGAACUCAGGUUUUGGGAUAUUCAGAAGUUCAAUGAUUACGCUUCUGGAAGCCAUACUGCGGAUUCUGAAUGUGGUGGAACAUCUGAAAGGAUGGUGGUGAGCGAAAUGCAGGGGCUAUUCUUUGGGGAUAGAUCUCCUUAACGCUCGUUCGAGAUAUCUCUUUUAAUGAUAAUAACGGCUCAGCAUGACGAAGACAAAGGCGCCGUAAUUAGCGUGCACUGUGCGCAUUGUGAUAUGUAUAGUUUAUUGCAUUUGUACAGUAUGUCAGUGCGUUCUUAUUUCUAGAGUAUGGAUAUAUGUAUAGCGAGCGCAUCAUAUUUAGCCAUGACAUGCCUGAUCAUUUGAGGAGAGGGAUAUAAUCGCUAUUACGUGAUGCGUUUAAAAUGGAAUUGGUAAUUGUUUAUUGCUGAU
rnacentral:sRNA from 2 species